rnacentral:rRNA from 1 species
UGAAUACGGGAUGCUACGGCGUCGAAGCAGUCUAUGUCAUACUUCCAAGAAAAGCUUGCACUGUCAUAAACAAAUAAUGCCUGUACCAUAACCGACACAGGUGGGUAGGUAGAGUAUACUAAGGGGCGCGAGAUAACUCUCUCUAAGGAACUCGGCAAAAUGACUCCGUAACUUCGGGAGAAGGAGUGCCUUAUUUAUAAGGUUGCAAUAACAAGAUCCAAGCAACUGUUUACCAAAAACACAGGUCUCCGCUAAGUCGUAAGACGAUGUAUGGGGGCUGACGCCUGCCCAGUGCCAGAAGGUUAAAGAAGUUGGUUAGCAUCCGCGAAGCUGAUAACUGAAGCCCUGGUGAACGGCGGCCGUAACGAUAACGGUCCUAAGGUAGCGAAAUUCCUUGUCGGGUAAGUUCCGACCCGCAAAAGGCGUAAUGAUUUGGAUACUGUCUCGGAGAGGGGCUCGGUGAAAUAGACUUGUCUGUGAAGAUGCGGACUACCUGCACCAGGACAGAAAGACCCUAUGAAGCUUUACUGUAACCUGAAAUUGAAAUUGGACUUUACUUGCGCAGUAUAGGUGGGAGGCGUUGAGAAUAUUCUUGCGGGAUUAUUGGAGCCAUCAGUGAGAUACCACUCUUGUAAUGUUAGAUUUCUAACUUUGUAUCAUUAUCUGGUCAAAGAACAGUUUCAGGCGGGCAGUUUGACUGGGGCGGUCGCCUCCUAAACGGUAACGGAGGCGCACAAAGGUUUCCUCUGAACGGGUAGAAAUCGUAUCUAGAGUGUAAAGGCAUAAGGAAGCUUGACUGUGAGACCUACAAGUCGAGCAGGGACGAAAGUCGGUCUUAGUGAUCUGACGGCGCUGAGUGGAAAGGCCGUCACUCAACGGAUAAAAGUUACUCUAAGAAUAACAGGCUGAUCUCCCCCAAGAGUUCACAUCGACGGGGAGGUUUGGCACCUCGAUGUCGGCUCAUCGCAUCCUGGGGCGGUAGUACGUCCCAAGGGUUGGGCUGUUCGCCCAUGAAAGCGGUACGCGAGCUGGGUUCAGAACGUCGUGAGACAGUUCGGUCCAUAUCCGGUGUAGGCGUUAGAAUAUUGAGAGGAGCCUUCUUUAGUACGAGAGGACCGAGAAGGACAUACCUCUGGUGUACCAGUUAUCGUGCCAACGGUAAACGCUGGGUAGCUAUGUGUGGAGUGGAUAACCGCUGAAAGCAUCUAAGUGGGAAGCCCACCUCAAGAUAAG